rnacentral:rRNA from 1 species
CCCUUAGAUGUUCUGGGCCGCAUGCGUGCUACACUGAGUGGAUCAGCGGGUCAGGUUGCGCGAAAGUGUUUCCUAAUCUUUAAAUCCGCUCGUGAUGGGGAUUGACGGUUGCAAUUUUCCGUCAUGAACGAGGAAUACCUUGUAAGCGCGGGUCAUCAUCCCGCGCUGAAUACGUCCCUGCCCUUUGUACACACCGCCCGUCGCUCCUACCGAUUGAGUGGUCCGGUGAGGCUUUGGGAUCUGAGCGGAAAGAGCGUUUCGCUGUUUCUGCCCGGAAAACUCAGUCGAACCUUAUCAUUUAGAGGAAGGAGAAGUCGUAACA